rnacentral:rRNA from 1 species
GGCCUACGGGGCGCAGCAGGCGCGAAAACUUCACAAUGUGGGAAACCACGAUGAGGGAAUUCCAAGUGCUUAUGCAAUGCAUAAUGCUGUUCAGAU